AAAAAAGGUAACAAAAACAUCCUUGUCCAAAGAGAGAGUGGGAACCCCAGCAUUCCUCACAGCCGGCUUUGCCAGGGCUGCCAAGGGCGUGACUUGCUGUUGAAGACCACAGAGUUCUUUGUUUCCAUCUCUGCUAGAAGCGGUGCACACAGUCCCCCUCGCACUCACUGCUGCUCCCUCAAAGCUAGAGAACCAGAGCUGAGAAGCAGAAACCCUCUCAGUGGCCUGGCCCGUGCUGCAGACAGACAGAGCGGUCAAGGAAGGCCUCAGGACCAGAGGCAGAGAGAGGAAUGGAGUGAGAGAGAUCAAUGCUGGACCCAAGAUGAUUAACGUGCCAACCUGGGGCACUGGCGCUAGGGAGAUGGUCAGAUCGAUGGAUUCCAAGCAAAUGAAGAGCCUGGCGCAUUCGGCAGCCAAGCUGUGAAGUUAAACACAGCGACGGGGCCAGGCGUUUGGUGAGCGAUGAGGGUGAUGAAACAGGACACAUAUAUCUUGGGAAACAACACUGAGAGGCCAGAUCUGGUUCUGAAAAAUGUCUUUGCUCCUUGUCACCUUUCAAAGGCAAAAUCACAGCUCUGACAAAUACCAAGAAGAAUUCCCAGGUGUGUCUGCAGCCGUGAAAAUGUGACAUGAGUCACAGUGUCUUCGGAGGAAAUGAAAGACCACAGGACGGGGACAUGGCAUCAUGAAAAAAGAUGCUUUGUGAUUUUCAACAUAUGGUGACACUUUUCCUAAUUUAGAGGGGGAAGCUGGGUUUUGAGUUUUCUUUUAUCCUCCCUCUUUGUUAAAAGCAAGAGAAAGAAGAUUUAAAGAACAUCUGUGUAUUCAAAUGAUAGAAAUAGAAUUAUACACUUUCAAAAACAAGUUCUAGUAUUUUUGUCUCUUUCAAAGAUUUCCGAAGCCUAUAGAUUUCUCUCGUGUUUGUGAGAGCAUUUCCUCUGAGACCUUAGACAUAGUGUUGAAGUUGAAAUGGUUUUUGUCUUUUUCCCCUUUCUGUUAACCCAGCCCCCACUUCAUUCUGUUAAUCUCCUUUAAUUGGACUUAAGAUAAGACUGAGUAUGUUCAAUAUUUUUAUUGAAUUGAGUUUUAUGUUUCCAGUCUGGAUUUAUAGACUGUUAAAUAGAAUGUUUUACGUUUCUCUCUCUCGCAAAGAAAAUAACAAAUACGUGUGGGACAGAGCCAUCAGUCAAUUAUAUCAGUGGAUUGUUGGCAACUCACAGGGGGAAAAAAAAGAGCAUUUUCACUCUACUCUUAGGGGAAAGCAAUUAUAUUUAAGAGCAGUAGAAAGCCAAAACUAGCCUGGAACUUCAAAACGCCUUUCUUGACUGACCAAGAAAAGGUACAGUGACUACAAUGACAAACCAGCCCCCAGCUCUUUUAGAAAUCUACCCUGCCUCAUGCUAAAGAGAAAGUAAGUGAUGUUUCAGCCUCGGCGACCAGGCAGGAAUAGAAAAAUACAUUGACAGUAGUUGGAUAGACCUUAAAAUUAAGUAAAAAUUUCUUAAUAUACAAGAUCUCAGUUUUCCCACAAACCUCCUUUCUGUCCAGAAAUUUCCAUGCCAUUUACUGCCUGAUCAUGUCAGGAAUGACGUUCUUCCUUGUUCUUGAUUUUCCUUCCUGGAAUGUUUUAAUCCUGCCUCUCCAGAACACUUUUCCCUACUUCUUCUAGGCCCUACUCACAGCAAUGUAGCUGACACAUAGCAUUAGCGUGCAAAACCUCAAAUCCUUUCUGACUUGGAACUUCACCCAGGAAAGACCUCUAGCAAAAGUGCUGGCCAUUGUGUCACAGGACAAACCCCUUUCAAAGAACAAAGCCAUCAUCAUCUCAAAAGCCACAGUCACCACCUGGACCUUCCGUCCUGAGGAAAGGAAUCUCCACCGAAUCUAGGGGGAAGACCCCCCCACCAGUCUGUGCAAAAGAUGAAGAAUUGACUCCUCUGAGACCCUCCGUGGAGGACAGCUCAGAGCUAAGCCCUGGAGAGAAAAGCAGCCACGUGUCCCCCGAUUCUGUUGCUGCAUCCCCCAAAGAGAUUUCCAACCAAGAUGCUCUGCCAGAAAUGGAAUUACGGUCAAAUAUUGCAUCCCGAUCACAUUGGUAUGUUAAAGACUUGGAGAGGGUUCGAGGUAAAGAUCUAUGCUGAAACUUUUCCUAACGGUAUUUGACUCAGAAAUGUUUCUUGCUAUAUAUAAACUAAAACACCGUACUUCAGAAGGAUGACUACUUUUUCUCUCAUUAUGAAUGUAAAACUAAAUACAAUUGAGUUGGUAUUAUCACAAGCAGUGGCCAGAGGACCUUGAAGUCGAUGGCCCGGCCACCAUGCCCUAUAGAAAGCUUGGGCUGAGGGCUCAGCAUACAGGGUCUGGCUCAACUCCCUCACCCAGUGUGAUGGAGGGCCAUCCCCUUGCUCCCUGCAGCUCUCUCACCUGUGAGACAGGAGGACCCCGAAGCACCCUGCACACUAGGAUGUGGUCAGGCUGCAACAAUACUUUAAAUGUGCUUUGCAAACUGUAAAGAGCACAACACUUUAAGGGUCUGUGGUGUCAGUACCUCUGUUCUUGAGGCCACACUCAUGGGAGAAGAGAUCACUUGGCCUCAGCUGCCCUGGGAGCUGGUGAAAAAUGUGUGGUUUUGACUGUGGUCUGCCAAUGAGACAUCAGAGGCAGCAGUUCCUUGAAUAUUUCCCCUGCUCUGGACCCUGAGGGAGGGAACUGAUACCAGAGGUCUUUUCUAUCUUUAGUAUCUAUACCUACAUGUCUUCCUCUAUUGCACAGGGAUGCUCUCUCUGCCUUCUCAGUGCUUACAUCUAUUUGUUUUUUUCUUUUUGGAGUCUCGCUCUGUCACCCAGGCUGGAGAGCAGUGGCGCGAUAUCAGCUCACUGCCAACCUCUGAUGCCCUGGUUCAAGCGAUUCUCGUGCCUCAGCCUCCCGAGAAGCUGGGAUUACAGGUGCCUGCCACCAUGCCCAGCUAAUUUUUUGUAUUUUUAUUAGAGACAGGGUUUUGCCAUGCUGUCCAGGCUGUUCUCUAACUCCUGACCUCUGGUGAUCCGCCCACCUCGGCCUCCCAAAGUGCUGGAAUUACAGGCGUGAGCCACCGCGUCCGGCCGCUUACACCUUUUAAAGCUUCUGAUUCUGCUGUCUCUGCUCUGUGGCUUUGCAUCUGGGCAAGUUUCUCCGCAGACCAGGAACCUCUAAGUCGGGGGAGGAAAGAGAGGUCGCUGAAUCAGAGCAAGGCAUGCCGUCCUCGUCUGCAUCCUCUAUUACUCUUGAAUAAGAGAGAAUGCGAGGACAAACGGGCAUCAGCAUAGUGACGUGUCCAUGUAGGUUCACGAAUGUAAGAGCUGCACCACGUGGGUGUGGAAUGUUAACAGUUGGGGAGGCUGGGGCAGUGGGAAAAGGGGUCUAUGGGAAUGCUCUGUAUUUUCCCCUUAUUUUACUGGAACCUAAAACUGC
rnacentral:lncRNA from 10 species